GACGAACGCUGGCGGCGUGCUUAACACAUGCAAGUCGAACGGAAAGGCCCUGCUUUUGUGGGGUGCUCGAGUGGCGAACGGGUGAGUAACACGUGAGUAACCUGCCCUUGACUUUGGGAUAACUUCAGGAAACUGGGGCUAAUACCGGAUAGGAGCUCCUGCUGCAUGGUGGGGGUUGGAAAGUUUCGGCGGUUGGGGAUGGACUCGCGGCUUAUCAGCUUGUUGGUGGGGUAGUGGCUUACCAAGGCUUUGACGGGUAGCCGGCCUGAGAGGGUGACCGGCCACAUUGGGACUGAGAUACGGCCCAGACUCGUACGGGAGGCAGCAGUGGGGAAUAUUGCAGAAUGGGCGGACGCCUGAUGCAGAAACGCCGCGUGCGGGAUGACGGCCUUCGGGUUGUAAACCGCUUUCGCCUGUGACGAAGCGUGCGUGACGGUAAUGGGUAAAGAAGCACCGGCUAACUACGUG
rnacentral:rRNA from 1 species